UAAUAAUAUAUCCUCAGCCAGAGCACAAGAGCCAUGGCCUGUAACAAGAGCUUUUCCAGCAAUUAUUUUCUAUUGACGCCAGAAGAAGUUGGCUUCUUUGAUCUGAUUCACAUUUUGUUCUCCACCACCAAGUUUAAGGAAGGAAAUAAGUUUUUAGAUAUGUCUAAGGUAGAGGAGAUCAACUUCAGGCGCAGAUGGUUUAUAUUUCUGUCCAUUCUGGGUCAAAAAUUUCUGCAGUUUGUGUCAAAGCCACUCUCAGAGCUGGGGUCGGGGAUCGAAGUGGCUUUGAACCUUAUACCAAGCAACCGCAAUGUGUUUGUGCUCGUGCUCAAUUUCCUCCGAGGUUGCUUUGCUUAUAACUUUCCUCUGUUCAUAAUUACUACUCAUAUUUUGGAUGAAUCUAGCUAAUGACUUGAAGUUUAGAUUGAGUUCCUUUUUUUCUUCUUCUAAAAUUGCAUGGUUCUUUUGAUUAUGUUAGUAGUUAGUAAGAAACUAUGUUUGUAAAGUAUAUAUAUUUAAUCAGAGUGAUUUGUUUACAUGCUCUUCUCUGUUUGAUUAUAAUUACAUAUAUUUUGCAACAUUAGUAGCUUUGUAUUAAAAAAAAAAAGGGAAAAGUAAUUAGGACAGGGAAUGUGCAGCUCUUUCACUAUCUUUGGUCUUUGCUUCGAUUAAAAUGUGACCCGGGUGCUGUUUUUCAGGGAGGGCGGUAAAGCCAGAUAAAACAUCGGCAACAUUUCUGUCAUUUAUAGGGAUUAUAGACAAGCGGGUGGAGUUGGACAGUAGCAUCAAACAUGAUGAUGCCAACUACCAUGCAGCACUCUCUGCGAUGGCUUCUAAAGCAUCAUAUGAAAACAGUGCAUGCAUUGAAACUAUAGUCAAGAAUCACUGGAAGGUAUAUAGCUUAUUAGCAAUUUGAUUAAUUGUUUUGAUUCACAGUCUGAUAGGGACGAAUCAAUUUGAUUAAUGAUUUCGAUUCACAGUCUGACAACAUAAGUAAAUCUGACAAGAGAACAUAUCCCAUUUGUCUACAAGUAUUAAGUAUUGAAUUUGAUUUUAACACCAAAAUGCAAUUGAUCUUGAGCAGAUGGAGUUUUUGGGAUUUUAUGACUUCUGGAAUGGUAAGGAGUAACCUACACUCUGUAAGUUGCAUUAAUUUCAAAUUGGCCACAUGAUAUAUAAUUAAUGAUGAUUUUGCUUUCUACAUAGAUUAUCAGGGAAAAGCCACGACACAAGCCUUCUUGCUUCGUGACAAAACUUGUGACCAAGACACAAUUGUUCUGGCCUUUAGAGGAACUGAACCCUUUGAUGCAGAUGCAUGGUGCUCUGACUUUGACUUCUCCUGGUAUGAGCUUUACGGGGUUG
rnacentral:lncRNA from 1 species